GCAGGAGUACAAUGAGAGGGGGAGUGAUGAGCCGAGGAGGAACGUGUGGUGGGCCACGUGUAGGAAGUGUUUUACUUCCACGCUUCAGGUAUAACAACACUACGGAAGUCAAUUUGCUCUGUUCUGAUCCGUUCCACCAGAGUUGCUCUGUUCUGAUCCGUUCCACCUGAGCUUCUCUGUUCUGCUCCGUUCCACCAGAGAUGCUCUGUUCUGCUCCGUUCCACCACAGCUUCUAUGUUCUGAUCCGUUCCACCACAGCUUCAUGCACGCGUUCCUUUACUCCAGCCUCCCCCACAGAGCACUGAUGUGACAACGCAGGAUUUCACAGUUCAUUGAGCACAAGCAAACCCCAGAGCCAUGUCGAAUGAACCAAAGCGCCCUCUAGUGGCCUCAUGGGUGGAACGGAAAUAAUAUUUUCCAAAAUGUCACAAUUAAUAAACUUUGCUUUUUCUA